UACGUAGGCUCCAAGCGUUGUUCGGAAUUACUGGGCGUAAAGCGAGUGUAGGCGGUCCGUCAAGUCGGCUGUGAAAUCUCCUGGCUCAACUGGGAGGGUGCGGCCGAAACUGACGGACUAGAGUCUGGGAGAGGAGAGUGGAAUUCCUGGUGUAGCGGUGAAAUGCGUAGAUAUCAGGAGGAACACCGGUGGUGAAGACGGCUCUCUGGACCGGUACUGACGCUGAGACUCGAAAGCGUGGGGAGCAAACAGG
rnacentral:rRNA from 1 species